rnacentral:rRNA from 1 species
GACGAACGCUGGCGGCGUGCUUAACACAUGCAAGUCGAACGGAAAGGCCCCUUUGGGGGUACUCGAGUGGCGAACGGGUGAGUAACACGUGAGUAACCUGCCCUUGACUUCGGGAUAACUUCAGGAAACUGGGGCUAAUACCGGAUAGGAAUCCUUGCUGCAUGGGGGGGGUUGGAAAGAUUUGGCGGUUUUGGAUGGACUCGCGGCUUAUCAGCUUGUUGGUGGGGUAGUGGCUUACCAAGGCUUUGACGGGUAGCCGGCCUGAGAGGGCGACCGGCCACAUUGGGACUGAGAGACGGCCCAGACGCCUACGGGAGGCAGCAGUGGGGAAUAUUGCACAAGGGGCGGAGGCCUGAUGCAGCAACGCCGCGGGCGGGAUGACGGCCUUCGGGUUGUAAACCGCUUUCAGCAGGGGCGAAGCUUGUGGUGACGGUACCUGCAGAAGAAGCACCGGCUAACUACGUG